rnacentral:rRNA from 1 species
CCGGCGCACGGGUGCGUAACGCGUAUGCAAUCUACCUUGUACAGAGGGAUAGCCCAGAGAAAUUUGGAUUAAUACCUCAUAGUGUUAUCGAAUGGCAUCGUUUGAUAACUAAAGUUCCAACGGUACAAGAUGAGCAUGCGUCCCAUUAGUUAGUUGGUAAGGUAACGGCUUACCAAGACAAUGAUGGGUAGGGGUCCUGAGAGGGAGAUCCCCCACACUGGUACUGAGACACGGACCAGACUCC